GAAUGCGUGGCCGGCAAAGCGAAGAAGCCGUGUCCGAGGUGUCCAUGCUCCUGUAAAAAAAUGCAAUUCAGUGAUGACCUUCUGGAGGUGGAUCCGCGCCUAUCGAAGCUGUAUAUGGCUGGGUUCUGACCAAAAGUGCAUACAUCGACAGGGUGUGUAGAAAAAAGUUGCGUCGACAAAAUUGAAUCCACAGUAGCCUGCUGUGCGCCGGCGGUGCUCAGUGGCUCUGGAGUGGAUGGCGGAAUAAUAAAACGCCAUUGUGUACCCACCAAUGUCUGUGCCUCGCUUUCUUGUGAUGUCGACAUCGCUCUAGCGACGUUAUCAGCAGUUUCACUUUGGUAAUGCUAUGGCCAGGACGCACGUAGUCCGUACUGAAAGAGAACAAUGUGCAUGUAAAGAGCACCGGUGUGAGCAACAGUGUGAAUGGGCAUGAAGGCAACAGGCAGCUGCUAUAGCCGGACGCGUCUUGUCCGCAGAUCCGUAAUGUCGGAUAGCUGCUCUGUGACCGAUGAACAGCGUGCCCGUGAGGAUCACCUUUACGAACAGAAGCGGGAGUGGGCGCGAAAGCAUUGGCGACCAAUUGCAGUAUAUCACAGUGACCAC